GGGUUGUGAGGUUAAGCGACUAAGCGUACACGGUGGAUGCCCUGGCAGUCAGAGGCGAUGAAGGACGUGCUAAUCUGCGAUAAGCGCCGGUAAGGUGAUAUGAACCGUUAUAACCGGCGAUUUCCGAAUGGGGAAACCCAGUGUGACUCGUCACACUAUCAUUAACUGAAUCCAUAG
rnacentral:rRNA from 1 species